UCUCUCUUCUAACUUCCGCACUUCUGACUUCUAACAUCCUGACUUUCGACUUCUGAUUUCCAACUUCCACACUUCCGACUUCUGACUUCUUACUUCCUUCUUCUAACUUCUGCACUUCUGACUUCUAACGUCCGCACUUCUAACUUCCAACUUCCUGACUUUCGACUUCUGAUUUCCAACUUCCACACUUCUUGACUUCUUACUUCCUUCUUCUAACUUCCACACUUUUUACUUCUAACUUCCACACUUCUGACUUCUAACUUCUUGACUUCCGACUUCCAACUUCCGCACUUCUGACUUCCAUCUUUCCCUCUUUGGAAGUCGGAAGUAAGAAGUGUGGAAGUUGGAAGUGGGAAGUACGGAAAUCAAUUGUCCCUCCAGGGCUUCCAUAAGAAAUUGUUAUGGAUGUAUGUGUGACCACUUAGCCUAAAAAGUAACCUAUGGAUGGAUAACGUACUUGAUUUUUUUCUUUAAUGCAGGAAAUAUUACUCAAUUCUACAUGAUUUAUCUAUGAAACAUGUAUUUCUUAAUUCCGAAAGUUAUUGUUUUGAGCAAAAAUAACUAUAUUUCCCUUUCAUGUAUAACAUAACUUAGCUCAAAUGGCCGCAUUCGAUGACUAUCGAAAUAUGUUACUAGAGCUAUAACAAAUGUGAUGCAUGCCUUCACCUGGACUUCGUUGACAACACAGGACCAUAAUCCAGGGAAUUAAAGAGCAAUUAACAAAAUCCCUUGUGCACAAACAGACAAUGACGAAAGCAGAUAUUUUAAAGACAGUCAGAUUACUACGCUAACUUAAUGUGAUAAGGCAUAUUGAAUAAUUUACAAAGUAUGAUGCUGCCGUACUACUUUUGUUAAUGAUAACGUCAACACUAGUAGGGCACUGGGUAGCUUGUGUGUUUGAUGCCAUUGCAUUCUGGGAGUGACCGCACUUGGACAAAAGCCAUAGGAUGGUUAGUGUCGCCACAAGUACCAAUGAAGCUUACGUUGUCAACGUCACAAAUAGUGAACCAGCAUAGAGACGUAUUACAUCACAGCAUUUUACGUUUACGUUGCUGACGUCAAUAGGAUUAGGAAAC